rnacentral:rRNA from 1 species
CCUUCGGAGCGCAGUGACAGGUGGUGCAUGGCUGUCGUCAGCUCGUGUCGUGAGAUGUUGGGUUAAGUCCGCAACGAGCGCAACCCACGUCUUUAGUUGCCAGCAUUUAGUUGGGCACUCUAGAGAGACCGCCGGUGAUAAACCGGAGGAAGGUGUGGAUGACGUCAAGUCAUCAUGCCCCUUACAUCCUGGGCUACACACGUACUACAAUGCUACGGACAAAGGGCAGCAAGUUCGCGAGGACAAGCAAAUCCCAUAAACCGUAGCUCAGUUCAGAUCGUAGGCUGCAACUCGCCUACGUGAAGGAGGAAUCGCUAGUAAUCGCAGGUCAGAUAC